GUGAUGGGCUUAUUCUGAUACGGCAAGCGGGAGCCAGUCAUUCGAGAUUUAUAUGGAGGCUAAAAGAUGUUUCUGCUUUGAAUAAAUGUGCUUCUGAUAUUUUGAAGGACCUCUUAGGAAUCGUUUAGAAGUAUGCAUAGCCUUAUUUAAUAUUGCUGUGGAUAAACAAACUGAUAUACAGAAGAAGAACUUGACUGACAUUUUAAAAUAUUUGUUUUGAGGUCAGGAAGAGUUGACCAAAUCCAUUGAGAUUAAAACAACCUUUUUAUGCAAUGUACAUUUUAUAUGUACUUUAGUUCUAAGAAUGAAUAGAAUAACAUGGGACAAAUAAAUCAUAAAUAAGGUCA